rnacentral:rRNA from 1 species
UGGGGAAUAUUGCACAAUGGGGGAAACCCUGAUGCAGCGACGCCGCGUGAGCGAUGAAGGCUUUCGAGUCGUAAAGCUCUGUCCUAUGGGAAGAUAAUGACGGUACCAUAGAAGAAAGCCCCGGCUAAUUACGUGCCAGCAGCCGCGGUAAUACGUAAGGGGCGAGCGUUGUCCGGAAUUAUUGGGCGUAAAGAGUGCGUAGGCGGCAAAUUAAGUCAGAUGUGAAAACUAAGGGCUCAACCCAUAGAUUGCAUCUGAAACUGAUAUGCUUGAGUCAAGGAGAGGAAAGUGGAAUUCCUAGUGUAGCGGUGAAAUGCGCAGAUAUUAGGAGGAAUACCGGUGGCGAAGGCGACUUUCUGGCCAUAUACUGACGCUGAGGUACGAAAGCGUGGGUAGCAAACAGG